rnacentral:ncRNA from 1 species
GGGUCCGGGAAUAACCCGGAGGAAAUGAGUGGUCGGGCCGCCAUUC